rnacentral:misc_RNA from 1 species
AGUUGAAUCCUGAAACUAAUGUAAACAUCUUGUUCCUUCCCCUACAUUCCUAAGGGAUGAUAUAUCCACCAGUCUAUGUAUUCAAAUCACUUGGGAAAAAUGUCAGAAGAAAUUGUAUUAACUGUUCCAAAAGAUCUAGUCUUCUUAAGUUUUGGUCUUAAUCUUUUAAUAUGCUCUAACUUUUGAAGUAUUGAUGUGGUAUUUGAUUGAUUACUGUACAUUCAUGGCCUCUGACUGUAUCCUCAUGUCCAUGAUUAUGUAGUUUCUACAUUAAAAUGUUUGCGCACAUGUCAAUUAUAUGGCAAUGUUUAAUUGAAUCUUUUCAACUGUCUCACUGA